AGCAAAGCCGUCGAGAUGACCUGGAGAGCCUGGGCUACGUGCUCAUGUACUUCAACCUGGGCUCCCUGCCCUGGCAGGGGCUCAAAGCAGCCACCAAGCGCCAGAAGUAUGAACGGAUCAGCGAGAAGAAGAUGUCAACGCCCAUCGAGGUCCUCUGCAAAGGCUAUCCCUCCGAAUUCUCAACAUACCUCAACUUCUGCCGCUCCCUGCGGUUUGACGACAAGCCCGACUACUCUUACCUACGUCAGCUCUUCCGCAACCUCUUCCACCGGCAGGGCUUCUCCUAUGACUACGUCUUUGACUGGAACAUGCUGAAAUUCGCCAGGAGCACCUCUCCACCCACUGCUGCUGGUCUGACCGCCUUCCUGGAGUCCCUCUUG
rnacentral:sRNA from 1 species